rnacentral:rRNA from 1 species
GAUGAACGCUGGCGGCGUGCCUAAUACAUGCAAGUCGAGCGAACAGACGAGGAGCUUGCUCCUCUGACGUUAGCGGCGGACGGGUGAGUAACACGUGGAUAACCUACCUAUAAGACUGGGAUAACUUCGGGAAACCGGAGCUAAUACCGGAUAAUAUAUUGAACCGCAUGGUUCAAUAGUGAAAGACGGUUUUGCUGUCACUUAUAGAUGGAUCCGCGCCGCAUUAGCUAGUUGGUAAGGUAACGGCUUACCAAGGCAACGAUGCGUAGCCGACCUGAGAGGGGGUCGGGCCACCCGGAACCUGAGACACGGCCCAGCCCCCUAGGGAGGGCGGAAGAAGGAAAGUUACGGCAAUGGCGAAAGCCUGACGGAGCAACGCCGCGUGAGUGAUGAAGGUCUUCGGAUCGUAAAACUCUGUUAUUAGGGAAGAACAAAUGUGUAAGUAACUAUGCACGUCUUGACGGUACCUAAUCAGAAAGCCACGGCUAACUACGUG